GAGGAGCUUGCUCCUUUGACGUUAGCGGCGGACGGGUGAGUAACACGUGGGUAACCUACCUAUAAGACUGGAAUAACUCCGGGAAACCGGGGCUAAUGCCGGAUAACAUGUUGAACCGCAUGGUUCAACAGUGAAAGACGGUCUUGCUGUCACUUAUAGAUGGACCCGCGCCGUAUUAGCUAGUUGGUAAGGUAACGGCUUACCAAGGCGACGAUACGUAGCCGACCUGAGAGGGUGAUCGGCCACACUGGAACUGAGACACGGUCCAGACUCCUACGGGAGGCAGCAGUAGGGAAUCUUCCGCAAUGGGCGAAAGCCUGACGGAGCAACGCCGCGUGAGUGAUGAAGGUCUUCGGAUCGUAAAGCUCUGUUGUUAGGGAAGAACAUAUGUGUAAGUAACUGUGCACAUCUUGACGGUACCUAACCAGAAAGCCACGGCUAACUACGUGCCAGCAGCCGCGGUAAUACGUAGGUGGCAAGCGUUAUCCGGAAUUAUUGGGCGUAAAGCGCGCGUAGGCGGUUUUUUAAGUCUGAUGUGAAAGCCCACGGCUCAACCGUGGAGGGUCAUUGGAAACUGGAAAACUUGAGUGCAGAAGAGGAAAGUGGAAUUCCAUGUGUAGCGGUGAAAUGCGCAGAGAUAUGGAGGAACACCAGUGGCGAAGGCGGCUUUCUGGUCUGUAACUGACGCUGAGGUGCGAAAGCGUGGGGAUCAAACAGGAUUAGAUACCCUGGUAGUCCACGCCGUAAACGAUGAGUGCUAAGUGUUAGGGGGUUUCCGCCCCUUAGUGCUGCAGCUAACGCAUUAAGCACUCCGCCUGGGGAGUACGGUCGCAAGACUGAAACUCAAAGGAAUUGACGGGGACCCGCACAAGCGGUGGAGCAUGUGGUUUAAUUCGAAGCAACGCGAAGAACCUUACCAAAUCUUGACAUCUUUUGAUCGCUCUAGAGAUAGAGUUUUCCUCUUCGGAGGACAAAAUGACAGGUGGUGCAUGGUUGUCGUCAGCUCGUGUCGUGAGAUGUUGGGUUAAGUCCCGCAACGAGCGCAACCCUUAAGCUUAGUUGCCAUCAUUAAGUUGGGCACUCUAAGUUGACUGCCGGUGACAAACCGGAGGAAGGUGGGGAUGACGUCAAAUCAUCAUGCCCCUUAUGAUUUGGGCUACACACGUGCUACAAUGGA
rnacentral:rRNA from 1 species